rnacentral:rRNA from 1 species
GACGAACGCUGGCGGCGUGCUUAACACAUGCAAGUCGAGCGGAAAGGCCCUUUCGGGGGUACUCGAGCGGCGAACGGGUGAGUAACACGUGAGUAAUCUGCCCUUGGCUUUGGGAUAACCACCGGAAACGGUGGCUAAUACCGGAUAUGACGCGCUCCGGCAUCGGGGUGUGUGGAAAGUUUUUUCGGCCAGGGAUGUGCUCGCGGCCUAUCAGCUUGUUGGUGGGGUAAUGGCCUACCACGGCUUCGACGGGUAGCCGGCCUGGGAGGGUGACCGGCCACACUGGGAAUGAGAGCCGGCCACGACUCCUACGGGGGGCAGCAGUGGGGAAUAUUGGACAGUGGGCGGAAGCCUGAUCCAGCAACGCCGCGUGAGGGAUGACGGCCUUCGGGUUGUAAACCUCUUUCAGUACCGACGAAGCGCCGAUGAUGGUGGUGACGGUAGGUACAGAAGAAGCACCGGCCAACUACGUGCCAGCAGCCGCCGUAA